UAAAUAAAAACCAAAUAGAGGUAUUUCAUUGUUAAUGAAAUUAUUGAUAUUUAGAUUAUUAUUUUA
rnacentral:tRNA from 1 species